GGAAAUCUCUCCCAACAAUAUUUUCUAAAACCGAUGAUUUACCGCUUGACUGUGACCGUACGACCUAACAAUUUAUUAGUGAAUUUUUCAAUCUAAGUUAAAAUUCACAACAUACAGUAAUCUGUGGUAAGUCAAUCAAGUUUUGAACGCCAACUGUGGAGAAAGCCUCCUGAAGUUGAUUGACAACUUUAAUCAAUGAGGGAUCCAUUAUCAACUAUGGAUCCACUAAAUAGACAAUUUUACGAAUGGGCGGUUACAAACCUGAUGGUAUGUGCUGUGGUAGUGUAGUGUUUACUCGGAUAUGUCGAAUAAAAUUAGUACCUCGCUAAUCGGAUUUCAGUAAGGCUGCUUGAAGGUGGCUUAACAAUAUCGUGUUGCUAAUUGAUUUACCAAAAAAGAAACAGUGAUGCCCUUGAAACGUUGUUGUCAGACUUUAGACAAUAAAUCUAAUGUUUAACCCUCGAUAAGUAAUAUUAAAGCGAUGCAUCAUUCCAUAUUUAACGAACGAUAAUAUACUAAUAUUGCGUUUUACUACGUUGCGUAUCACUAUAUGCCCUGUGUUGGAAUAACAGGAAAGAUCCUUUUAAUGAUAAUUGCGAAAUGCUAUUUAUCUUAAUACAAAGUUACCCAUUGAUACUUGAGUACUGAAAAAAUUAACGGAAACUGCUUUAACCUUGUUUUUCAGUACAAUUAUAAGCUAUUCUGCUGAUAAGUAAAAAUAGUACCUAUUUACGAGAAUCUUUAUAAUAUAGUACGCGUUUUGCUGCGUACCGUAAUAUUGUAUAUUUCAAAUAAAACUACCACCACAGUUUUAAAAAUUGGUUACAUUACGCGUAGCUGACAGUGCUCAAUACGCUAGUUUAUUCAAAAACGAGUUUUAGUUCAGUAGGAAAAGGGAAUGGACUUUAUAGAAACAGCAAUUUUUGCUAAUUAUUCUCUGUUUUGCUGCUGAUUAGAAGUCGACAAGUGUGUUCAAUUUGCACAUGCCAUUGGACAAAUUUUAGCAAUCACCUUAGCGUCAAACAAUUUAUGCUUUUUGUUGGAAAAAAACCAAUAACAAUUGGGACCUUUUUAGCAAUAAAUGGAAGCGAAUUUCAUAGUGGAUAAUAUCUCUAAUUUUUAUCAAAGCAUAUUAAUAUACCAUAUGCAAACUUACAAAUAGAGAAACAUAUGAAGUCUUGGUUCUUGACUCCAAAACUAAAUAAUACUAGCAUUCCAAAAGUUAGUUAUCAAAAUAAAUGGUUGUAUAACUCGUGGAGUAGUUUGUCAAAAUCUUACACAUUUUGCUUCGUUUCUUGACACCUCUAUCGUAUACAAAUGCCAAAUCAAUAU